UUGGGAUAGCAUUGCCUUCCGUGUCUAAAUCUCCUGAAGAGACCAAGUCUGUUUCUCAGAACUGCCUUGAUUUAGAGGAUUCUGAAAUCCUUGGCUCCAAUGCCACAGGAAGUGUCCUUUAUGAGGACAUCUUGGUAUCAUCCUCCUCAGAAGAUAGUGAUGAGUAGAGUCACAUCCCCUUCAAUACAGAGGUCUUUGGUAUAAGAAUUGACUACAGGACUGUUAAGAAUCCAGAAAAAUCAUGUUCUGAAAAUGGAACAAGCCCAGAUAACAUUGGGAAAAAGACACUGCAUAUUCAUAUAUAUGAAUAUCUUCAUUAACCUAUGCUCAACUGGAAUUCAUUAUGUUGACCAGGCAGUCCUCAAUCUCAAAGAGAUACCAUGCCAUACUCUCCUGAGUGCGAGCAUUAAAGCCUCCUUUUGGAUUUCCUCAAUCAGCUUUUCAUCAUCCUCCGUGGGGUUGCUCCAGAGAGAGCACCUGGAACAUUCCUGGCAAGAGGCUCCUGGAAAGAGAGGGUGCUGGUCAUAGCCGUUGAUAGAAACACGACAGACAUAGCACAUCUGGGGACCACAGCGGCAAGACAUGCGGUUGCAGCCUUCAGAUUUGAUGAGGAGGGCCCCACACUGGUGGCAUUUUCUCAUGGGAGGAGCAGUCGUUUUUUGUUUUUUGUUUUUUGUUUUUGAUAGAUGUCCUGUACUUGACGUCAUCUUUUUCAGCCAGCUCCUCACAGGAACUUCUGGGAAGGAACCAUAGAUGUCCUCCUUCCUCACUGAGCAGGAGCAUCAGCUGAACAAGGUGGAAAAAUUGACCCUUCAUCUACAGAUGAUAACAAGGAGAGGAAUGAACUGACCCAUUAUACCAGCAAUGAUUUGAACAGCAGGCAUUCAUCAUGCCCCGUUCUCUGGUGACUGUCUUGACCCUCCUAUGUCAAGCCCAGCAUUCCUCAGGUCAUUGCAGGCUCCACCUCCAGAGUGUCCUUCUGCCCAAAUAAAUUUUCCUGAGUAUAUCUGAGGCAGAACUGAGGCCUGGGCAAGAAUGAGAUGGGGACGCAGGCUGUUCUGCUUCCUCCAAAAGAAAAGCAGAGCCUGUGGCCUGAGUCACAUUCGACUGUUAGGGGCAGUAGUGUGUGAGCUUACAACAUGCAUUUCAAGAAGGUUUGAUAGGUGUUGGCUUGUGGGAGAUGCUGGGUGCUAUGGGUUUAUGGUGAGUCUUUGUAUUUGACUAGGUGAUUUUUUGCUGGUUGUUCUGGGAGCAGGUUGAAGGGCUUGCCCUACUUGGUCCAUCUGGGUGUGUGACUGGAAGGCCUGGAGUUCAUCCCAGGUCCUCUCUGAUCUUGUUCCUUGCACUCUGAGACAAGGCCACCAACCUGCAUUUCUUUGACAUAAUAAUUCUGUAUGGGUUUUGUGUGUGUGUAUGAAGGUCUCUCGAACAGGCCCCAAUACUGCAAAUAUGGCAGCAGCAGGUUUUGCUCUUUUCACUUCCCUCUCCCCUGAUAUACUAAUAGACUGCAUUCCUAAAUUUAGUUUCCAAGGACCAUUCUCUUGUUUGGCCACAGACCCAUUACUGAGACUAUGCACCACAGUCCAGCAAUCAAAAUUCAGUAGUUGGUUACACUAACUAACCUGUUGAAUUAGAUUUCACCAACUUACCCUAGCACAGACUUUUCCCCCUCUUCUCUUUAAAAAAGAAAAUCUGUUUGAUAUCUAUUCUUGUGUGACGAAGAUGCAGUCUUUCCCCAAUCUCAUUCUUAUCCUCCUGAGGUAAUAAUCUCCUAUGUGUUGCAGUGUCUGAGUGUGUUCUGUACUGUCUUCCAGGGGCUCCCUUAUAUAUAUAUAGUGUGUGUGUGUGUGUGUGUGUGUGUGUGUGUGUGUGUGUGUGUGUCCAGAUCCUGUGAGGCAGAGAUUGGUAGCAGGGCUUAGGAUUUGUGGGUCUCAGAGUUUCCAGGUGAUAUAAGUGCUGAGGCCAGGGAGCCACACUUUGAGCAUCACUGCUCUCAGCCUUUGUGCUCACCUUGGUGCAUCAUCUGAAUCUGCUUGGGAGUUUACAAUGCUAAUCUCAUGUAGUGUCUCCUCCAUGGAAACACUAAUUACGAAUUCUUGGCAUCCUUGUAGUAAUAGGAACACAGGAUAAACAAUCCAUGUUCUGAAGACAGGGGAAAUGUCAUCACAGGCUUUAGGUAGGCCCAGACCUGUGGCACAGACUCCUGGGACCUUCUUACAGAGCUAGUCUUGAAAGACCCGCUCGAAAUGCCCCUGAGCCCCCUGCCCCGAAGCUGCCGGGGCCUCCCAAGCCUUCACCCCGGCAGGGCUCGCGCCCCCGGCCCGCCCCGCCUGGCACCGCGCCUCGGGGCUGGGGCCGAGCAACGAGCACCAGGUGGGCCGGCACGAGAACGAACACCAAGUGAGCCGGCCUGGAGCCCUGCCCCUGAGCCCUGCCCGAUGAGAAACACUCCGUCCCAAGGUCUCCGCCCCCAAGGUCAGCCAUCUGGACGCGGAGGGAGGGGGAA
rnacentral:lncRNA from 1 species